GACGAACGCUGGCGGCGNGCUUAACACAUGCAAGUCGAGCGGUAAGGCCCUUUCGGGGGUACGACGAGCGGCGAACGGGUGAGUAACACGUGGGUGACCUGCCCUCAGCUCUGGGAUAAGCCUGGGAAACCGGGUCUAAUACUGGAUAUGACUCCAUGACGCAUGUUGUGGGGUGGAAAGCCUUGUGCGGCUGAGGAUGGGCCCGCGGCCUAUCAGCUUGUUGGUGGGGUGAGGCCUACCAAGGCGACGACGGGUAGCCGGCCUGAGAGGGCGACCGGCCACACUGGGACUGAGACACGGCCCAGACUCCUACGGGAGGCAGCAGUGGGGAAUCUUGCGCAAUGGGCGAAAGCCUGACGCAGCGACGCCGCGUGAGGGAUGACGGCCU
rnacentral:rRNA from 1 species